CCGAGCGGGUGUGACCUGCAGCCCGCGUCCCCAGCACCAGCGACCGUCCAGGACACCCAGAGAACCCUGAGCCCGACGAACGUCAAGUAAACACGGCUCGUGUUCCGGAGAAGCCCAGAGCUCAAAACGAAAUAGCAGCACUGCCACCGUUUCUAAGUAAGGGUCUGUAACGAGCACAGUUUUAACCACGAGGCCAAAUCAUAAACCCGUGCACAGCGCGGGGCCCCUGGAGUCGCCCUUGGUCGGCUGCCCGCCAAGCGUUGUCUUCGACAGCGACCGUCGGGACUGACCCUGGGGCUGCACGGUCCUCGCAGACUGCUCUCACGGAGCUUAGACGUGCUUAUUCGUGGGAAGGGAGGACGUGUCCCGGAGGUCGCGCACGUGCCGCGGUGCCGGCUCCACUGCCCGCGCCCCUUUGCGGAGCAAGUGCUGCUGUCAUCUCAGGCCGAGGAACAAGUGAAGAAGCUGAAGCUCAGACACGUGAAACAGUUUCCAGGUUACGAGGCGAGCGAAUGCCCUGUCGGGGCUGGAGGAUUCCUCUACCUUGUGUCGGGCUCCGUUUCUCUGCCAUCGUCGAGCUGCGACACCUCGCAAGGGUCAAGGGAGACCACGUCUGUGAGAUCCCUCGGGAAGCUGUCCUGCGCCGUGCAGAUGUAAGGGUUCAAGGUUAACACGUCUUGUGACCCCAAAUUGUCCAGGAGACACAAGGAAUGACGUCUCUGGAGGGUCCGGGUGCGGGAACCCUCUGGAGGGGUGUUGGGGGUCUCUCCUUGGUACGACUGCAUGAUGAGAAGGCCUGUCCGCCAGAAAAGACGCAGGGGCUAGGGCCCAAAGCCCAACUGAACGAGCAAAGGGGAACUCGUCUCUUGCCCUCACGCCUCCUCCCGGAGCAAAUUCCUUGGCACGACAUCUCAUAUUUUCUAGGGCAAGUAGAGUAUGUGGCCUGAAAACCGGCCUCUUGAGACCAGUUCCUUCAACUCCUUAUACCUGAUUUUUUUUUUUUUUUUUUUUGGAUCAAACGUCUCCUGUUUCAGGCUAAUGUUUUAAAAAUGGAAAUGAAUCAGAAUAGAGAGGUGCCUCUGGGAUCCCAAACUGGUUUUCGCCCUCUUUUCACAGAACAAAGGAAAGCCAGCGUUCUUUCAACACUGGGCAUGUCUGAAAUGCGCCUCAUCCACGUAGCCGUAAAGGGGCUCUGAACCAGCUUGUCCACGUUUACCAAACCCGGGAGGAGACACCAACCUCUCACGCGAGCCUCAGGAAAGGCAGAAUUCGAGCUGCGAUGUUCCCUCAUCAGCUUUACUCCUGUCAGGGUUCUGGCCCUUGAGGCUCUAUCAAAUGACAAGAGCUGGCUUCCAACACACAAAUGACAGGCAUUGACGCUGCAGAAAUGCUGCACGUACUUAACUUCUGCAGCCCACGCUUUUGGAAAUUGGCAGCAGCGAGGAACUUGAACUCUUUUCUGGAAUGAUGCAGUAGACUGGGGGAAGCUUCAUCCUAUAGUCGUGGGAGGGAGAGGCUGAAAAAGUGUGAAAAUGGCAUAAAUCCAACAAAAGGGUGAGUCUGUACUCCAAGGGGGCAGACGGGGAUUAGGAGGUACGGAGCAUAGAAGCACGUACUUUCAUCCGUGCGUGUACCAUACACAUAUUUAGGGGGAGACAGCAGUGGAGCAGGUCUGUCCUGAUCCCUGGUGGCUCCAAUUAGCAAAUUGAAACGAGCCUUUUGCGGUGUUCAUGCAGAGUCUAGAGAACUACGUUCUGGGAAUGAUGUAGGGAUUCCGAUAUCCAUCCGUUGGGGAUUUGGACUGGAUAAUGCUGCUGCCCUAGAGGCCUUAUGAAUUCCACCCAGGCUUCCUUCCGCUGCAGGCCUCCACAAGAUCUGCAUUUUAGACGAAGUACAUCACUGACAUCCGCACUCUCACCCCUGUGCUUCCCCCAAACCGCAGUAAAUUCUAAAUUAACGCAGUUAAUAAAUUCGAGUUAACAUGAAAA